CUACGGGUCGCUCCAGUGAGGAAUAUUGCACAAUGGGGGGAACCCUGAUGCAGCAACGCCGCGUGGAGGAUGACGCAUUUCGGUGUGUAAACUCCUUUUAUAUGUCAAGAAAAUGACGGUAGCAUAUGAAUAAGCACCGGCUAACUCCGUGCCAGCAGCCGCGGUAAUACGGAGGGUGCAAGCGUUACUCGGAAUCACUGGGCGUAAAGGACGCGUAGGCGGGUUGGAAAGUCAGGUGUGAAAUCCUACAGCUUAACUGUAGAACUGCACUUGAAACUUCUAAUCUAGAGUAUGGGAGGGGGAGAUGGAAUUAGUGGUGUAGGGGUAAAAUCCGUAGGUAUCACUAGGAAUACCUAAAGCGAAGGCGAUCUCCUGGAACAUUACUGACGCUAAGGCGUGAAAGCGUGGGGAGCAAACGGGAUUAGAUACCCGCGUAGUC
rnacentral:rRNA from 1 species